GGAGAGGUGGCUGAGUGGCUUAAAGCAUCCUCCUGCUAAGAGGAAGUGGGUAGUUAAUGCCCACCGAGGGUUCGACUCCCUCUCUCUCCG
rnacentral:tRNA from 1 species